UACGGAGGGAGCUAGCGUUGUUCGGAAUUACUGGGCGUAAAGCGCACGUAGGCGGCCGUUCAAGUCAGAGGUGAAAGCCCGGGGCUCAACCCCGGAAUAGCCUUUGAAACUAGAUGGCUUGAAUCUUGGAGAGGUCAGUGGAAUUCCGAGUGUAGAGGUGAAAUUCGUAGAUAUUCGGAAGAACACCAGUGGCGAAGGAGACUGACGGGACAAGUAGUGACGCUGAGGUGCGAAAGCGUGGGGAGCAAACAGG
rnacentral:rRNA from 1 species